rnacentral:rRNA from 1 species
UGCCAGCCGCCGCGGUAAUACGGAGUGUGCAAGCGUUGUUCGGAAUUACUGGGCGUAAAGCGCGCGUAGGCGGCUUGGUAAGUCAGAUGUGAAAUCCCUCGGCUCAACCGAGGAACUGCAUUUGAAACUGCUAGGCUUGAGUACGGGAGGGGGAAGCGGAAUUCCCAGUGUAGAGGUGAAAUUCGUAGAUAUUGGGAGGAACACCAGCGGCGAAGGCGGCUUCCUGGACCGAUACUGACGCUGAGGCGCGAAAGCGUGGGGAGCAAACAGGAUUAGAUA